UUUGUUAGGUUAAUUGUUCAUUGAAAUAUUUCCCCUUUAUUUAUAGUUGUGUGUUUUUUUACUUAUGUGUCCUCUUUUCAGCCUCAGAGGAGAUCUGCACGGUUAUCAGCAAGACCAGCUUAUGUGAAGGCUGAACCCAAACCAAAAAAGACAACUAAGAAAGACAAAGCAGCUAAUGUCAAAAAGGAGGAUAAAAAGACCAAGGUGAAGGCCAAGGAGAGCUCGGAGUCUGCAGCCAGCGAGGAGAACCACUCCGAAAAUUGAGAGGCCAAGACCAACGCGGUGUGUUAUAAUCUCACUGCACUUUAGACUUUCCAUAGAACAUAUUUUACUUUCAUUUUGUGUUGACUGUGUGGAAUAAAAUCAUUGAAAUACUGUUACACUAGGAUGUUCUUCAUAUCUUUUGAAAUGAAAAAUGCAUUAUUCUUGAUGAUUUCUUCCUCUCAACCUGUCCUCAGGUCACAAAGACUCAAAAAGCAACGAAGGAAGUGAAAUCUGAGUAGCACUAUUGCCUCCCAUCAACAGUCAUCACAGCUCCCCAUCACUCCUAGUGUUGUGUCAUUGCCCAACCUCCAAGGCAUAUUGUUCACAGAGAAAUAUUUUUAUCAAUGGUUUUAUAAGUAUCAGAGCCAGUGCAGGUCACAAAAGUGGUCUUCCUCUCAUCUCCCUUGGUCAAAUCGUCCUGUCGUCAGCCUGUGAGAUUGGCGAUACACGAUA
rnacentral:lncRNA from 1 species